GAAAUGCGAUAAGUAAUGUGAAUUGCAGAAUUCAGUGAAUCAUCGAAUCUUUGAACGCAACUUGCGCCCUCUGGUAUUCCGGAGGGCAUGCCCGUUUGAGUGUCAUGUGGAAUCAACCCCCCGGGUUUCCGGGGAGGUCGGACAUGGGUGUUGCCGUCCCGGCUCGCCUCAAACGUCUAAGUGGGGACCGGCCCAGUCGGGAGUAAUAAGUUUCUCUCCUCGGGUGCCGUGUGAACCGCUCAUAACCACCAAUCUUUUGACUCUGACCUCAAAUCGGGUAGGGCUACCCGCUGAACUUAA
rnacentral:misc_RNA from 1 species